rnacentral:rRNA from 1 species
GACGAACGCUGGCGGCGUGCUUAACACAUGCAAGUCGAGCGGUAAGGCCCUUUCGGGGGUACACGAGCGGCGAACGGGUGAGUAACACGUGGGUGACCUGCCCUCAGCUCUGGGAUAAGCCCGGGAAACUGGGUCUAAUACUGGAUAUUACUCUGCGGUGCAUGCCGUGGGGUGGAAAGCCUUGUGCGGCUGGGGAUGGGCCCGCAGCCUAUCAGCUUGUUGGUGGGGUGAUGGCCUACCAAGGCGACGACGGGUAGCCGGCCUGAGAGGGCGACCGGCCACACUGGGACUGAGACACGGCCCAGACUCCUACGGGAGGCAGCAGUGGGGAAUCUUGCGCAAUGGGCGAAAGCCUGACGCAGCGACGCCGCGUGAGGGAUGACGGCCUGG